rnacentral:rRNA from 1 species
UACGUAGGGGGCAAGCGUUGUCCGGAAUCAUUGGGCGUAAAGAGCGUGUAGGCGGCCAGAAAAGUCCGCUGUGAAAACUCGAGGCUCAACUUCGAGCUGUCGGUGGAAACUUUCUGGCUAGAGUCCGGAAGAGGAGAAUGGAAUUCCUGGUGUAGCGGUGAAAUGCGCAGAUAUCAGGAAGAGCACCCGUGGCGAAGGCGGUUCUCUGGGACGGUACUGACGCUGAGACGCGAAAGCGUGGGGAGCAAACAGG